rnacentral:rRNA from 1 species
GACGAACGCUGGCGGCGUGCUUAACACAUGCAAGUCGAACGGAAAGGCCCUGCUUUUGUGGGGUGCUCGAGUGGCGAACGGGUGAGUAACACGUGAGUAACCUGCCCUUGACUUUGGGAUAACUUCAGGAAACUGGGGCUAAUACCGGAUAGGAGCUCCUGCUGCAUGGUGGGGGUUGGAAAGUUUCGGCGGUUGGGGAUGGACUCGCGGCUUAUCAGCUUGUUGGUGGGGUAGUGGCUUACCAAGGCUUUGACGGGUAGCCGGCCUGAGAGGGUGACCGGGAACAUGGGGGGGGAGAUAAGGCCCAGGGGGGGAAGGGAGGAAGAAGUGGGGAGGGGGGAAGAAGGGGGCGAAGGCGUAUGCAGCAACGUCGGGUGGGGGGUGAGGGUCGUCGGGGGUGAAAGCGAAUGAGGCGGGGACGAAGCGGGAGUGACGGGAAUGGGUAAAGAAGCACAGGCUCACUACGUG